CCCCGGCGCGAGGGCCAGGCUACCGCUCGCCCUCCGCGCGUCCCCGGCCCGCCACGCGCCACGCCGCGCCAGGCAAGCAGAGAGCUGCUUGGACCACUCGGGCCGCGCCAUCCAGGCGCCGUGCGCGGGGGCGGCCGGAACAGCUGGCUGCGGGGCUGUGGCGAGGGAGCGGCACCUUGAACUUACACCCAGGAGUCGGACAAAUGUCCAAAACCAGAAUCGGGAGAGCUUGGGAGAGCUUUGGAUUGAGACCCAAGUCGGGAUCUCAGGCAUAUUAUUGCCUGUGUAACCUUGGGCAGUCCACAUUGCCUCUCUGAGGCUUAGCUGCUUUAAUAGUAAAAUGGCUGUUGCAAACUCGUAAUGAACCGCUCAGGCUUAUUGAAUCGUAACCUCCCCUCCAGAAAGUGAGGAAUCAUGGCCUACACUGAACUAACUGAUCCAUCAGAGGGACCCCGUCCAGAUCGCCAGAAGAGCCAGUGGCACUUAAGGGACCAGGGGUCUUGGCUUCUCGCAGCCACCAUUUGACUGUCCUCAGAAUUUUCCAGGUGCUUGAUUUGAUGCAACUGAAAUGUAGCUGCUCCUGUGAAAAGGGAUUGUUUAGUCUCAAGGACUGAAACAAUGAGUCAUUUGUUACUUUUCUGCUGAGGGUACAGCCUUUGCCCUGCACUUGAGGGGAGGCAUACAAGAAAGAGGAUAAACAGUCCGGCCUCAGGAAACUGAUGGAAGAGACAGGAUCCACAGCUCUGAUGCCCAGCCUGUUGGAGUGAAUCCAGGGAAGUUUCCGGGAGGAUUCCGGCAGAUUCAUUGAGAACAUUGUGCCCAUGAGUGUGCCCAGGACUUCAUGUGUGCUGUGAUAGGGUAUUGGGGAAAUGGCAGGUAAAGAGACUAAAAAAAACCCAUAGGAUAGCAUAAAGAUUGUUUCAAAGUGAAAACAUUCGAGCUACAGCAGAUGCAGAAAGAAAUCUUAUCUCAACUUCCCUUAUCUGAAUAAAGCAGCUGCCAUGAACCCUUUGUCCCCGUGUGGAGGUCUCUAGUUAGGGAGUCUUGGCACUUCACACUGGGACUUUUUAUAAAAAUUGUAUAAAUAAGCCUCAUCAUAAGAACUUUCUAUCCUUUGAAGCCCUAACCUACUCCCCACUCAGAAUAAAGCUGGUAUAUAAACCUUUA